AAGGGAACAAGAAAUAAAAGAAGCUGCUAACUAUCUUUUUAAGCGGUUAAAAUCCGUUUUUCCCUUA
rnacentral:tRNA from 1 species